rnacentral:misc_RNA from 1 species
ACAGAGGGAUGCUAGUUAUCUUUACGGAGCGAAGAUGAAUACUCAUAUUUUGGUUCUGCUCACGGCAAAGUUGGUUACUUCGACCAGCACAUGCAAUGAAUGGGCAUCGACCACUCACAACCGCUCGGUUGAAGUGAACUCUACGUGGGAAAACAUCUACAUUUUUUUUAUCAGCGAAAAACAGAACACUCGCUUCCAAAUCACAUUUUCCAAGCCUAUGGAAAGUUUUGAUUUAAGCCUACAUGAAGCAUAUGUAUACUACAUAGGGAGAGUGUACCAUCAGGGUACUGUCACUGGUGACUGUGAAUCGUACAGUCCCGUAUGUAAAACUUAUUUUCAUUUUGGGGACGCAGACCAUUUGAUAGGUAGAUCGGGUUCAAGCAGUUUCCUUAUUUCAAGCCAGUCAUUGGUCUAUUACCUGACAUGUAGAUCACUUGGGUAUUUUCCCGAGGCGCCAGUGCUGAGACAGAACUUCAGUCUUCCAGACGUGAAACCUACAGAGCCACAGCGGAACCUCAGCCUACCAGGCGUGAAACCUACAGAGCCAGAACAAAACCUUCCAGGCGUGGGUCCUAAUCAACCCAAAGACCAAAACCGGUGUACCGCCCUGACCAUCGGGCUCGGGGUCGUAGGGACGGCGCUACUGCUCGUAUUGGCUUUCGUCUGCGUCGCCGGUUGGAGGACAAGGCGGGCAGCGGCGUCAGCGAAAGACGAAGCAGCAUCUGGCAACAGCACAGUUUCCUGCCACGACAGCGAGAACAGCACCUACGGGACAAUGGAAAUGACUCCUACCAACACCUGAAAACGUGACCUGGUGACCUACAAUUACAGAUCUGGUUUCAAUCCAGCAGCGAAGAGGUGACAUAACUCGGUGACAGAGCGCUGGCAUUGCAAACGCACGGUUUCAGGUUCGCAUGCUGGGGUCAAGGUCGCAUGGUUUCAGGUUCGCAUGCUGGAGUCAAAGUCGCAUGGUUUCAGGUUCUUAUGCUGGGGUCAAGGUCGCAUGGUUUCAGGUUCGCAUGCUGGGGUCAAGGUCGCAUGGUUUCAGGUUUGCAUACUGGGGUCAAGGUCGCAUGGUUUCAGGUUCGUAUGCUGGAGUCAAAGUCGCAUGGUUUCAGGUUCGUAUGCUGGGGUCAAGGUCGCAUGGUUUCAGGUUCGCAUGCUGGAGUCAAAGUCGCAUGGUUUCAGGUUCGCAUGCUGGGGUCAAGGUCGCAUGGUUUCAGGUUCGCAUGCUGGAGUCAAAGUCGCAUGGUUUCAGGUUCUUAUGCUGGGGUCAAGGUCGCAUGGUUUCAGGUUCGCAUGCUGGGGUCAAGGUCGCAUGGUUUCAGGUUCGCAUACUGGGGUCAAGGUCGCAUGGUUUCAGGUUCGCAUGCUGGGGUCAAAGUAAGAGCUGGAAGGUAAUGACCACCCUACCGUAUCAUCCAGCUGCAUAGUAUUCCUUUUUCUCUACGGACAUGGGCCCCUACACCCACUCGGUUAUGGGACCGACUUUGACCUUGAGCUAAAUAACAAUUAAGUUUAUUACAAUUGUUAGAAUUGUUAUUCUGGGUGUGUGACAGGCUGUUUGUUUAAUUUUGUUUAUAAAUUACCCCAUGCGUGUUAUGCUUUAAAAUAUUUCACUCUGUUUGAUUUUUUAAAGGUUACUGUAAUUUUAGACUUUGUUAAUGUAUAAUGGGAGAAAGGGAAGUAGAAAGAGAAGGAGAUAGAGGGACAAGGAAAAAUAUAUAUUUCUAUCAUUUAAUCUAUCUCUCUAUCUAUCUAUCUACCUAUCUAUCAGUUUAUUUCUCUCUCCC